rnacentral:lncRNA from 1 species
AAUUAAAAAAAGGUGCAACAUUUUUUCUUCAACAAAAGAAUACAUCACAAGAAUAUAAGUUUUGUAAGAAACGUGAGAAAUUGUGUUGGACUUGAAGAUAAGGCAAAGUGACAAAUAUCUGAAAGAAUGAAUCGUUUCAUGGUAUUAAACAAAGAAAUCAAAUUAUUUUUAUAAUUAUCCAGAACUCUUCACAAACGAAACCCACAUGUAUAUGCAUUGAAUAAAUAGUAGGCC